CCUACGGGAGGCAGCAGUGAGGAAUAUUGGUCAAUGGGCGGAAGCCUGAACCAGCCAAGUCGCGUGAGGGAUUAAGGCCCUGCGGGUCGUCAACCUCUUUUGCUGGUGAGCCGUGGUCCGGACGCGUCCGGACCGGGAGAGUACCCGGAGCAACAGCCUCGGCUAACUCCGUGCCCGCAGCCGCGGUAAUACGGAGGAUGCGAGCGUUAUCCGGAUUUAGUGGGUUUAAAGGGUGCGUAGGCGGGCAUUUAAGCCGGCGGUCAAAUGUCUUGGCUCAAACCCGGCCUGCCGGCGGAACUGGGUGCCUUGAGUGGGCGAGAAGUAUGCGGAAUGAGUGGUGUAGCGGUGAAAUGCAUAGAUAUCACGCAGAACCCCGAUUGCGAAGGCAGCAUACCGGCGCCCUACUGACGCUGAGGCACGAAAGUGCGGGUAUCGAACAGGAUUAGAUACCCGAGUAGUC
rnacentral:rRNA from 1 species